rnacentral:tRNA from 2 species
GGGCCUGUAGUUCAAUGGAUAGAACGACGGUUUCCGGUACCGUAGAUCGGGGUUCGAUUCCCUGUGGGCCUACCA